rnacentral:rRNA from 1 species
UACAGGAGGUGCAAGCGUUAAUCGGAGUUACUGGGCGUAAAGGGCGCGUAGGCGGUUUGUUAAGUGAGUUGUGAAAGCCCUGGGCUUAACCUGGGAAUGGCAACUUAAACUGGCGAGCUAGAGUACUGUAGAGGGUAGUGGAAUUUCCGGUGUAGCGGUGAAAUGCGUAGAGAUCGGAAGGAACACCAGUGGCGAAGGCGGCUACCUGGACAGAUACUGACGCUGAGGCGCGAGAGCGUGGGGAGCAAACAGG